rnacentral:rRNA from 1 species
GUGGGGAAUAUUGGACAAUGGGCGAAAGCCUGAUCCAGCCAUGCCGCGUGUGUGAAGAAGGUCUUCGGAUUGUAAAGCACUUUAAGUUGGGAGGAAGGGCAGUAAGUUAAUACCUUGCUGUUUUGACGUUACCGACAGAAUAAGCACCGGCUAACUUCGUGCCAGCAGCCGCGGUAAUACGAAGGGUGCAAGCGUUAAUCGGAAUUACUGGGCGUAAAGCGCGCGUAGGUGGUUUUGUAAGUUGGAGGUGAAAACCCCGGGCUCAACCUGGGAACUGCCUCAAAAACUGCAUGACUGGAGUACGGUAGAGGGUAGUGGAAUUUCCUGUGUAGCGGUGAAAUGCGUAGAUAUAGGAAGGAACACCAGUGGCGAAGGCGACUACCUGGACUGAUACUGACACUGAGGUGCGAAAGCGUGGGGAGCAAACAGGAUUAGAAACCCGGGUAGUCC